CCCAAGCAGCACAGCCCGGUCAGCCGACAGGGAGGGGGCAGAGAGCCUGGUCUAGCCCAGCUCUGCCCCUUCCUUGCUGUGUGACUUGCAUAAGCCUUCCUUCUCUCCUCUGCCCAAGUUGAACAAUCCUACAGCAGCUGGCAGGAGAGGAGCAACUGCUUGCUACCCGGCCCAGGGAGGCCUCGGCACCCACGGCAGGGGCGCCAAACCCCAGCAGCAGGCAGCCUGGCCUCCAGCUCCAGCUCCCAUAUCUCUGCUGUCAUGCAGGUCUUUGCAGCAGCAGACGGGGCGGAGGUGCGGGCAGAGGAAAGACCAAUUGACAAUGGCUCACCAGGGGAAAAAUAACAACUGCUACACCUCUCUGCAAUCCUGCACAGAUACACGAAACUGGCUUGAGAUACUGUGAUUCUUAAACAUCGUUCCUGCAGAACAUCGGUUUUCCAGAAGCCAAAGUAAAGAGGUUUCCCCCUCAA